ACGUAUUUAGCCGGGGCUUUCUUCUUAGGUACCGUCACUAUCUUCCCUAAGAACAGAACUUUACGACUCGAAAGCCUUCAUCAUUCACGCGGCAUCGCUGCAUCAGGGUUUCCCCCAUUGUGCAAUAUCCCCC
rnacentral:rRNA from 1 species